UGCAGGCAUUUGUGGCCUGCAUGUGAUUUGACAAAUGGCUGCAAAUAACACCUGGAGCAGCAGGUGGACUAGUCAAACUGUCUGCUGUGAGGGUCUAUUAUCUCCUCCACAAAGCAAUCUAGGAAGGCAUGAUACACAGUGGAUGGCUUGAAUGCUAAUUAACUGUCUGGAGCAAAGAGAGAAAAACAACCCUUUCACAUCCCUAAAGGCUCAUCCUGGCUCAAACCUCACCGCUAUGAGGUGCAAUGUGGUUCUUCAUUCGAGGCCAAAUCUCCAUCCUUCAUGCUGGAGCAGACAAGAGGACUGAUUGCACUAUAUUGCCCCCGUAAUUUUCCAUGCUGGAUGGGGUCACUCAGCCAAGAAAAGGAGCAGACAGUCUUUGCCUCCAACUCUCAAGAUGUGAAUCAGACUCUCUCUCUCUCUCUCUCUCUCUCUCUCUCACGCUCUUCUUUCUCAGUGAUGGAGCAUGUUUAAACUAUCCAAAAUUUAAAGCAGCUCUCAUACAAUAAACAAGUAUUGUCCUGGAGUGGACAAUGUUGACUGGCAGGGGUAAAUUUGUGCAGGUUUUAAUUGUAGCAGAGGUUCAUCUUGACCCCAGAUAUUGAGAAUAUAUCUUUAUAAUAGUGAGUUCAGUACUAAGAAUGGAAUACUGAUUCAUGUGCAGUCCUAGAGAGUAAGAAAGAGGCUUAAAGCUAACAUCAGAGAGGAGAGGAAAAGAAAGCCUGACAGAGAUGAAAGGAAGACAAAAUAUUAGACAUUAGAGAAGGCAGUGGAAUGCAUCAGAGUC